rnacentral:rRNA from 1 species
UGGGGAAUAUUGCACAAUGGGCGGAAGCCUGAUGCAGCGACGCCGCGUGGGGGAUGAAGGCCUUCGGGUUGUAAACUCCUUUCGACAGGGACGAAGCUUUUGUGACGGUACCUGUAUAAGAAGCACCGGCUAACUACGUGCCAGCAGCCGCGGUAAUACGUAGGGUGCGAGCGUUGUCCGGAAUUACUGGGCGUAAAGAGCUCGUAGGUGGUUUGUCGCGUCGUCUGUGAAAUUCCGGGGCUUAACUCCGGGCGUGCAGGCGAUACGGGCUGACUUGAGUGCUGUAGGAGAGACUGGAAUUCCUGGUGUAGCGGUGAAAUGCGCAGAUAUCAGGAGGAACACCGAUGGCGAAGGCAGGUCUCUGGGCAGUAACUGACGCUGAGGAGCGAAAGCAUGGGUAGCGAACAGG